UCUUUGUGGAUAAGACUUGGUAACAGUAAGUGAGCUUUAGUUGCAUUGAUCUAACGAGUAAAGACCACCAACACCGUUAUUGUUUGAGGUGGACAUUCUCGACACAUGCCACUGAAACCUUUCUUUGAAAUCGACAACAAACUUAGAAACCACAGAAACCAGUUUCCAGAUACAGGUUUGAACAUUUAUGUUCUCACGGUUAUGCAGCAAUGAUUUAGUUAGUAGGCCUCGAUGCAGGGGAGAACAAACACAGAUCUAGUUAGGCCAUUAAUUAGCUUGUUUCUCAUGUAACAUUAUAUAUUAUAAACUCACAUUUUGUUUUGAAAGAACUUUGAUGAAAGGAUUCGACUGAUUAUUACAUUAUUCAUUAAACACAUCUGACUACAUUAUUCACUGUUUUUCUCACCACAAAUCCAUAUUCAGAUACACUACCAACACAUGUAAUAUUUGAUAAACAUAUUGCAAGCUGCUGCUCUCAUUAUAACAUCAUUCUACUGUAUAUACUCAGUAGAGAAGGCCUGUGUCGGACCACAGAGCUGUUUCUCUGCUUUUUGACCUUUAGUGGGCGCCACUCCAAUCAGUUUUUGUUAUAUCCAUCCUCUGCAGUGCUUCUGAGUCCAAGGCAAACAAAUGUGUGUGUCAUCGGUCAUGCUUGUGUGUUUGUAGUAAUUAUUUAUCUGUACCCUGUAGUUAAUAUUAUGUUACUGUCCAAUAAUUACAGUAAACUAGUUUGACAGCCAAAAUAGUGGCAUUCUACAAAGUUAAAACAUUGUUAAUUAUUAACUCUGCGACAAGGGAAACAAACGCAUUAAUGCAUAUUUUUAAUAACACCGCAGGUAGAAACAUUUCAAAUUGAUAAAAGCAGUUUUGAAGAAAUAACAAAAUCAUAA